rnacentral:rRNA from 1 species
AUUGAACGCUGGCGGCAUGCUUUACACAUGCAAGUCGAACGGUAACAGGCCUUCGGGUGCUGACGAGUGGCGAACGGGUGAGUAAUGCAUCGGAACGUACCCAGAGGCGGGGGAUAACGCAGCGCAAGCUGUGCUAAUACCGCAUGUGAUCUGAGGAUGAAAGCGGGGGACCGAGCAGCAAUGUUUGGCCUCGCGCCUUUGGAGCGGCCGAUGUCGGAUUAGCUAGUUGGUGGGGUAAAGGCCUACCAAGGCGACGAUCCGUAGCUGGUCUGAGAGGACGACCAGCCACACUGGGACUGAGACACGGCCCAGACUCCUACGGGAGGCAGCAGUGGGGAAUUUUGGACAAUGGGCGCAAGCCUGAUCCAGCAAUGCCGCGUGCGGGAAGAAGGCCUUCGGGUUGUAAACCGCUUUUGGCAGGAACGAAACGGUGUCCGCUAAUACCGGGCGCUAAUGACGGUACCUGCAGAAUAAGCACCGGCUAACUACGUG